rnacentral:rRNA from 1 species
AAACCAACAGGGAUUGCCUCAGUAGCGGCGAGUGAAGCGGCAAGAGCUCAGAUUUGAAAUCGUGCUUUGCGGCACGAGUUGUAGAUUGCAGGUUGGAGUCUGUGUGGAAGGCGGUGUCCAAGUCCCUUGGAACAGGGCGCCCAGGAGGGUGAGAGCCCCGUGGGAUGCCGGCGGAAGCAGUGAGGCCCUUCUGACGAGUCGAGUUGUUUGGGAAUGCAGCUCCAAGCGGGUGGUAAAUUCCAUCUAAGGCUAAAUACUGGCGAGAGACCGAUAGCGAACAAGUACUGUGAAGGAAAGAUGAAAAGCACUUUGAAAAGAGAGUGAAACAGCACGUGAAAUUGUUGAAAGGGAAGGGUAUUGCGCCCGACAUGGGGAUUGCGCACCGCUGCCUCUCGUGGGCGGCGCUCUGGGCUUUCCCUGGGCCAGCAUCGGUUCUUGCUGCAGGAGAAGGGGUUCUGGAACGUGGCUCUUCGGAGUGUUAUAGCCAGGGCCAGAUGCUGCGUGCGGGGACCGAGGACUGCGGC